rnacentral:rRNA from 1 species
GUAAUGAUUCCUACAACGUUAAUGCAUUGGAUCCCAUCAGAACUCCAUAGUUAAGMACGYUUGUGUUAUAAGGCCUUAAUCUUCACC